rnacentral:rRNA from 1 species
AUGCACGCUGGCGGCGUGCCUCAUACAUGCAGGUCGAGCGAACGGACGAGAAGCUUGCUUCUCUGAUGUUAGCGGCGGACGGGUGAGUAACACGUGGAUAACCUACCUAUAAGACUGGGAUAACUUCGGGAAACCGGAGCUAAUACCGGAUAAUAUUUUGAACCGCAUGGUUCAAAAGUGAAAGACGGUCUUGCUGUCACUUAUAGAUGGAUCCGCGCUGCAUUAGCUAGUUGGUAAGGUAACGGCUUACCAAGGCAACGAUGCAUAGCCGACCUGAGAGGGUGAUCGGCCACACUGGAACUGAGACACGGUCCAGACUCCUACGGGAGGCAGCAGUAGGGAAUCUUCCGCAAUGGGCGAAAGCCUGACGGAGCAACGCCGCGUGAGUGAUGAAGGUCUUCGGAUCGUAAAACUCUGUUAUUAGGGAAGAACAUAUGUGUAAGUAACUGUGCACAUCUUGACGGUACCUAAUCAGAAAGCCACGGCUAACUACGUG